UCAACUGAUGCCUCAAUCUCUAUAUGAACUUCUUGUCAUUUGGUCUUCAUCUUCUCAAGGGUUUUCUAGAGUGUUCUGUUUUCUCAUCUUUUCUUUUUUGAUCUGAGUAACUCUUUAAUUUGUUUAGAGAGUGAUUUUCUUUGUGAAAUAUGGUGAAAGAGUGUAUGUGUUUGAUGGUAACAUUGAGUUCUUCUGGUCCAUUGAAGAAGCUGCGCGUUUCUUGUGAUCAUGACAACUGGUUCCUGGGUGAAUCUAGGUUUUCUGUGUUGAUACAGAAGGGUACAAUAUCUCCGUGCCUUUGAUCGUAGAUAUCUUCUUGUGCGGUGGUUUGUUUGAUAAAGUGUUGUAAAGAAUUCGUCGAUCUAUUUUUCUGUACGUCUGUUUUGUAUAAUACAAUGAUCAAACUUUUUCAAACCAAUCCAUAUUGUAUUAAUUUUGAUCAACGUUCCUUCUUUCAGCAUUCUACAAGAAUGCUAUUGCUCUUACGAAUCGGACGUUCUUUAGGUUACUGAGAGACACUCUCACACCAUCUAAGUAGCUAUUUCCUUAAUUUAUUCUCAUGACGUCGUACUUCCAGGCUCUUGUUUGUGUAUAUGCCUUUUCUCAUGUUAUUCGUGCAAAUAUCCUCAUACAUUUAUCUCAACAUUUU
rnacentral:lncRNA from 1 species